rnacentral:rRNA from 1 species
CCUACGGGUGGCAGCAGUAGGGAAUCUUCCACAAUGGAGGAAACCCUGAUGCAGCAAUGCCGCGUGAGUGAAGAAGGUCUUCGGCUCGUAAAGCUCUUUCGGUCGUGACGAUGAUGACGGUAACGUCUUAAGCUGCACCGGCGAACUUCGUGUCAGCAGCCGCGGUAAUACGAAGGGUGCGAGCGUUGUUCGGAAUUACUGGGCGGAAAGGGAGUGUAGGCGGAUAAGUAAGAUAGCGGUGAAGUGCCGGGGCUCAACCCCGGAACUGCCCUUAUGACUAUGUAUCUAGAGUGCUGGAGAGGAUAGCGGAAUACCAAGUGUAGAGGUGGAAUGCGUAGAUAUUUGGUAGAACACCAGUGGCGAAGGCGGCUAUCUGGCCAGUUACUGACGCUGAGGCUCGAAAGCAUGGGUAGCAAACAGGAUUAGAUACCCCAGUAGUC